UUCUCUCCCUCUCUUCAUCUCUUAGUAGAACACCAUCAAAGAAUCAGCUCUUGACUUCCAGACUAUCUCAUUUAUUAAAUAAAGGAGUGAGGACCCUACACACUGGAAGAGUCAUUGGCUCAGAUCAUUGAGGCUGGUAAAAGAGUUAUAGAUGAUCCUACACAUCUUGCUGAUUUUGGAGCUGCACUGACCAGUGGAGAAUCACAUCAAAUUCAAGCAGUUCUUGAAUGUCCAGACGUAA